CCUAGGGGGGCAGCAGUGGGGAAUAUUGGGCAAUGGGGGGAACCCUGAUCCAGCGACGCCGCGUGAGUGAAGAAGUAUUUCGGUAUGUAAAGCUCUAUCAGCAGGGAAGAAAGGAAUGACGGUACCUGACUAAGAAGCCCCGGCUAACUACGUGCCAGCAGCCGCGGUAAUACGUAGGGGGCAAGCGUUAUCCGGAUUUACUGGGUGUAAAGGGAGCGUAGACGGUCACGCAAGUCUGGAGUGAAAGGCGGGGGCCCAACCCCCGGACUGCUUUGGAAACUGUAUAACUGGAGUGCAGGAGCGGG
rnacentral:rRNA from 1 species